UCUGCUGCGGUUUGGAAAAAAAGAAUCUCUCCCUCGGUAACGGCGGCUCAGCAGUGCUGUCCGCUGCAUGUGGUGUGGUUCUAGUAUUUUCUUUCCCUUAUAUCGUUGGAGUGUUGCGGUGUAACACUGCCGGUGGGUAGAGAGUUGGUGGUGGCGCUGGCUCCGCGCUGCCAUUGUGUGGAGCGACGACAACCCUUGGUCUUCCGUUUUGAUUCCUCAACGACUGUAUGGCAGCAUUGUUGCUUGUGCUGCAGGAUCAUUCGCGCUCCGCAGGUUUGUUGCUGUUGAACUAGGAGUAGAGCUUUGAAUCUAAAAGAGGGCGAAGCGCUUAGGUGGAUCUAGUUUUUUCCUUCCCCUUGUGAUUGCGGCCCAACGAGGGUCAAUUUUGUGUUCGAAGCGGUUGCUGCGCCGUUGUUCGGAGGAGCCAGUAAUCUGGUCGCAAUCGUUAUGAACGAGCUUUGAUUUCCCUCUUCCUGUUGGUGGUGUUGCGUUGAGGCUAGAUUUUCUGUUCUUAUCCGACCAACACAAUUCUCCUCGUGAAGUUGCUCACAUUGCAAAUCAAAAUUUCGAGAGAUUUUCCUUGUCGGCAUCCUGUGCUCUCCAUCGAACCCUCGCCGUGGAGUUGUUAUCUACAACCUUGGCUUCUUGACCACCGCAUUGGUAGCAGCAACUAUUGCCGAUUUUGCGAUACGACAAGUUGCUGAUCAAGAUCUCGUCAUCAUCAACAUCGAUUGUUAUUUUCUGUCGAUAUCUCCGAAUUGCCGGCUUCUAAGCGGUGGUCUUCUCAUGUCAUUUGGAUCCGAUUGUGACUUACUAUGGGCUGCAGCCAUCGUCAAGAUUAAGUUCUGAUUUUUGAAGAGAUUUCUGAAUGUGUUACAGUAGCGAAUAGGAGCACGGUCCAUUUUACUAGGUUAGGCUGCAUGCUCAUUGUUGGAUAAUUGGCCUUACCUUCGGUUAUUAGCUCCCUCACGCAUUGGAAGGGAAGUCCAUUCACAAGCUGAGCAAUCGAGAAGGCUACUCUUCACAAGGGGGGUUGUUGCUAAUUGCUAUUCCUAAAAGUUCCAAGGGAGAGUCGGGUGAAUCCAUGUUGGAGUUUUCUGCGAGUAAUCCUCUGUGGUCGUGCAUAUCUUCAUCGGCAUAACCAAUGUGGUCGGUUCAAGACGGCAAAUCAUUGCCAGACACCCAGCAUCAUCAGUAAGGAGGGUGAAGGACUGGAGCUGCGAAUUGGAAGAGAGUGAGUCCUCCCACUGUGCACAGCUAGUUGUUUUUCUCCAUCCUUCUUGGCCAUUGUAUAGAAGAAAAAUAAAAUAAAAUAUAUGAUAAACCAUUUACAUAGAAUUUAAAAUUGUCAAGAGGUGCCUUUAAAGUGGUGUUUAAAGUAGGUUUAAGUUGGAUGAAUUUAGGGUUUGAAAGGAUGAUAAAAAGUGGAUGUAGCUAGAUUAAGAAUAGAUGAAUGAAUUUGAUAGAUGAUUUUUGGCUAAAGUGAAUGAAUUUUUAUUUGUGGAUGGAAA